rnacentral:rRNA from 1 species
UACGAAGGGGGCUAGCGUUGAUCGGAAUCACUGGGCGUAAAGCGCACGUAGGCGGCUUUCUAAGUCAGGGGUGAAAUCCUGGAGCUCAACUCCAGAACUGCCUUUGAUACUGGGGAGCUCGAGUCCGGAAGAGGUGAGUGGAACUCCGAGUGUAGAGGUGAAAUUCGUAGAUAUUCGGAAGAACACCAGUGGCGAAGGCGGCUCACUGGUCCGGUACUGACGCUGAGGUGCGAAAGCGUGGGGAGCAAACAGG